CAUGCCCUCUCUUCAUCUGUUUAAGUGGGUGCUUUGGCAUGAAGGAAGCUGUGCUUUAUCUCCCAAAUGCAUCUUGCUGUCUUUGGCACAUUUGUCGUUUGUUGGUGGUGGUGCCAGGACUCAGCCGUUUCAUGACAGGCUUUGAGAUAGUGAAUCAAUUGUUAUUGUUUUUCUUUUUGAAAUACCCAUCAGACUUUGUGA
rnacentral:lncRNA from 1 species